rnacentral:rRNA from 1 species
CUCCUCCAGGGGUAGACCAACAGGGAUUGCCCUAGUAACGGCGAGUGAAGCGGCAACAGCUCAAAUUUGAAAUCUGGCUCUUUUAGAGUCCGAGUUGUAAUUUGCAGAGGGCGCUUUGGCUUUGGCAGCGGUCCAAGUUCCUUGGAACAGGACGUCACAGAGGGUGAGAAUCCCGUACGUGGUCGCUGGCUAUUGCCGUGUAAAGCCCCUUCGACGAGUCGAGUUGUUUGGGAAUGCAGCUCUAAAUGGGAGGUACAUUUCUUCUAAAGCUAAAUAUUGGCCAGAGACCGAUAGCGCACAAGUAGAGUGAUCGAAAGAUGAAAAGCACUUUGGAAAGAGAGUCAAACAGCACGUGAAAUUGUUGAAAGGGAAGCGCUUGCAGCCAGACUUGCUUACAGUUGCUCAUCCGGGUUUCUACCCGGUGCACUCUUCUGUAGGCAGGCCAGCAUCAGUUUGGGCGGUAGGAUAAAGGUCUCUGUCACGUACCUCCUUUCGGGGAGGCCUUAUAGGGGAGACGACAUACUACCAGCCUGGACUGAGGUCCGCGCAUCUGCUAGGAUGCUGGCGUAAUGGCUGUAAGCGGCCCGUCUUGAAACACGGACCAAGGAGUCUAACAUCUAUGCGAGUGUUUGGGUGUCAAGCCCGAGCGCGUAAUGAAAGUGAACGGAGGUGGGAACCCGCAAGGGUGCACCAUCGACCGAUCCUGAUGUCUUCGGAAGGAUUUGAGUAAGAGCAUGGCUGUUGGGACCCGAAAGAUGGUGAACUAUGCUUGAAUAGGGUGAAGCCAGAGGAAACUCUGGUGGAGGCUCGCAGCGGUUCUGACGUGCAAAUCGAUCGUCAAAUUUGGGCAUAGGGGCGAAAGACUAAUCGAACUAUCUAGUAGCUGGUUUCCUGCCGAAGUUCCCUCAGGAUAA